rnacentral:rRNA from 1 species
GAUGAACGCUGGCGGCGUGCCUAAUACAUGCAAGUCGAGCGAACGGACGAGAUGCUUGCUUCUCUGAUUUUAUCGGCGGACGGGUGAGUAACACGUGGUUAACCUACCUCUCCGACUGGGAUAACUUCGGGAAACCGUAGCUACUACCGGAUAAUAUUUUGCACCUCAUGGUUCAAAAGUGAGAUACGGUCUUUCUGUCACUUAUAGAUGAAUCCGCGCUGCAUUAGCUAGUUGUUAAGGUAACGGCUUACCAAGGCAACGAUGCAUAGCCGACCUGAGAGGGUGGUCGGCCACACUGGAACUGAGAAACGGUCGAGACUCCUACGGGAGGCUGCAGUAGGGAAUCAUACGCAAUGGGCGAAAGCAGGACGGAGCAAAGCCGCGUGAGUGAUGAAGGACUUAGGAUCGUAAAACUCUGUUAGUAGGGAAGAACAUAUGUGUAAGUAACUGUGCACAUCUUGACGGUACCUAAACAGAAAGCCCCGGCUAACUACGUG